GGGGGUGUAGCUCAGUGGUAGAGUACUUGCCUAGCAGGCUGAUACCCUGGGUUCCAUCUCCAGCACCCCUC
rnacentral:tRNA from 1 species